ACUGCACAGUGUUUGAGUAUGGAGUUAAGGCUGCUGGCUGAUCGAUGAACUCACCAGUGUAGGUAGUAUGCUAUAUGAGGGGCAAGUUUUAGCUACUAACACCGCAAGGGUCUCUGGCUCAAUGAGUGGAGUUUGACAAUAAUUCUUGCUACAAGU
ensembl:snoRNA SNORA62 Small nucleolar RNA SNORA62/SNORA6 family